UACAGAGGGUGCAAGCGUUAAUCGGAAUUACUGGGCGUAAAGCGUGCGUAGUCGGUUAUUUAAGUCGGAUGUGAAAUCCCCGGGCUCAACCUGGGAAUUGCAUUCGAUACUGGAUAGCUAGAGUUCGGCAGAGGGAAGCGGAAUUUCGGGUGUAGCGGUGAAAUGCGUAGAUAUCCGAAGGAACAUCAGUGGCGAAGGCGGCUUCCUGGACCAGAACUGACGAUCAGGCACGAAAGCGUGGGGAGCAAACAGG
rnacentral:rRNA from 1 species